UACGUAGGGGGCAAGCGUUAUCCGGAUUUACUGGGUGUAAAGGGGGCGCAGACGGCGAUGCAAGCCAGGAGUGAAAGCCCGGGGCCCAACCCCGGGACUGCUCUUGGAACUGCGUGGCUGGAGUGCAGGAGGGGCAGGCGGAAUUCGUGGUGUAGCGGUGAAAUGCAUAGAUAUCACGAAGAACUCCGAUUGCGAAGGCAGCUUACCAGUCUGCGACUGACGCUCAGGCACGAAAGUGUGGGUAUCGAACAGG
rnacentral:rRNA from 1 species